UCUUUCGAUGAUUCUCUUGCCUUCCAUUUUGCUGGCCGCAUGUGUAAGUCGUUAAUAAUGGAUGGGCCUUUGAAGAAGUAGCAUUUGCCAGUGUCCAUGGCUUCAUAACUGAUAACCAUUUUGGCCCAGAAAUACAGCAAAUAUUUGAAGAUAAUGCUGUAGACAUGGAGUGGGAAAAUACACAAGGACUUGCCCAGCAAUCUGAUCAAUCUGAUUUUACUGACAGGCAAAUAUGUACUCCAGCACUACGAAAGGCAACAAGUAUAUGUACAAGUUCAAGUGACAGCUACCUAAAGUGGACCAGGCCAAGUUUAUGUAUUAAGCAAAAUCAAAACAAAUUUCAAUUUUGGUGUAGGCCAUGGUGCAGUGCUUAUGAGUUUAAUUGUUACUUGUGAGAUAGGUUUAGGAAGCAUUUAAUUUCACAGCAACCUAUAAAGGGAAUUUUGGUUAUAAUUGUUUAAAAUUAUUAUUACCCUUCGCUGUAAAGUUUGUGACACCUCAAAUUGCUCACUUCUGUAGGAUAACUGAUAGGAGUUUUAAAUCAUCUGGGAGAUAGGAGCAAGUGGUGUCAGUGAAGGAUGAACAUUGAAUUUUUCGCCAGUUUUUAAUUCAAAAUGUAACAAUAAUAAAGAUAGUAUAAUACAUAGUACUUCACGUAUUGAAAUGCAUGCAUUUCAAUAUUUGAGUAUGUGCUAUUAUACAAUCUUAUCUGAGAUUAUUCAGUGAACCUUUUUGUUUAAAGUAACAAUGUUCUAUUGAUCCACACUAUUUCUUUAUCAUAUAACUGUAAAAAUUCAUAAAUUGUGAUUUAUUAAUUAAGGAUUUCAAUAUUCAUGAUAUUUUGAGCAAUCAUGUGAAAGGAGCUGCUGUAUUGAAGGACCUCGAAAGUGAACAGAUGCCAACAAAUUGUGACAGAAGAACGCUCAUAAACAUAGUAGUUGCCUUCAUGGUGGAGAAUUGUGGACAUGACUUUGACCUCCAAUCAUUUUGUCAUGACACCUCACAACUCGUCACUGCUAGUACAAGUGGAAAAGGACAAAGAUGUAUUUUUUUUUCUUUGAUCAUCGGGUGGCCUACUGGACCACAAAAGCUGGCUGCUGCCAAGGCCAUUGUUGAGCAGUAUCCUUGUACCAAGGACCAUAUGCCUAAUGCAGAGGGACAUGUAAGUUGAAUUAAAAAGCUACCAGGCAAUAAAAAAUAAUAAUAAAAAAUAUGUUUUUUUAAAUUUUACAGAUUUGUUUUGCCUUUCUACAGUACAGUACGGUACAGUUAUUUGGUAAUUACAGUAUGAGGAUAUCU